UGAGGGAAAGGUGAAAAGUACCCCUGUUAGGGGCGUGAAAUAGAACCUGAAACCAUACACCUACAAGCAGUCGAAGACGUACUUGUACGUUGACGGCGUGCCUUUUGUAAAAUGAGCCGGCUAGUUAUUUUCAGCGGCAAGGUUAAGUCGAGUAGACGAAGCCGAAGCGAAAGCGAGUCUGAAUAGGGCGAAUAAGUCGCUGGGAAUAGACGCGAAGCGAAGUGAGCUAUCCUUGGCCAGGUUGAAGUAUGGGUAAUACCAUAUGGAGGACCGAACCACUACAGGUUGAAAACUGUUUGGAUGAGCGGUGGAUAGGGGUGAAA
rnacentral:rRNA from 1 species